AUCCCAUGAUGAGGACAUGUGCGAAUGUACUCCUGAAGACGUUCGCAAGCUUCGGGAAUCAUCUCAUCAGCCUAUUGCUGGAAGCUCGAGAUCUUCCCCUGUAGGGC
rfam:Sorghum bicolor cultivar BTx623 chromosome 2, whole genome shotgun sequence.